UACGUAGGGUGCAAGCGUUGUCCGGAAUUAUUGGGCGUAAAGAGCUCGUAGGCGGUCUGUCGCGUCGGCUGUGAAAACCCGGGGCUCAACCCCGGGCCUGCAGUCGAUACGGGCAGACUAGAGUGCGGUAGGGGAGACUGGAAUUCCUGGUGUAGCGGUGAAAUGCGCAGAUAUCAGGAGGAACACCGGUGGCGAAGGCGGGUCUCUGGGCCGAUAUUGACGCUGAGGAGCGAAAGCGUGGGGAGCGAACAGG
rnacentral:rRNA from 1 species